rnacentral:rRNA from 1 species
UACGAAGGGGGCUAGCGUUGUUCGGAAUGACUGGGCGUAAAGGGCGCGUAGGCGGCUUUUUAAGUCGGGCGUGAAAGCCCCGGGCUCAACCUGGGAACGGCGCUUGAUACUGGAAGGCUUGAGGGCGGGAGAGGAUGGUGGAAUUCCACGUGUAGCAGUGAAAUGCGUAGAGAUGUGGAGGAACACCAAUGGCGAAGGCAGCCCCCUGGGUCGAUACUGACGCUCAUGCACGAAAGCGUGGGUAGCAAACAGGAUUAGAUA